rnacentral:rRNA from 1 species
UGGGGAAUAUUGCACAAUGGGCGAAAGCCUGAUGCAGCAACGCCGCGUGAGGGACGACGGCCUUCGGGUUGUAAACCUCUUUUAGCAAGGAAGAAGCGAAAGUGACGGUACUUGCAGAAAAAGCGCCGGCUAACUACGUGCCAGCAGCCGCGGUAAUACGUAGGGCGCAAGCGUUAUCCGGAAUUAUUGGGCGUAAAGAGCUCGUAGGCGGUUUGUCGCGUCUGCUGUGAAAACCCGAGGCUCAACCUCGGGCCUGCAGUAGGUACGGGCAGACUAGAGUGCGGUAGGGGAGAUUGGAACUCCUGGUGUAGCGGUGGAAUGCGCAGAUAUCAGGAAGAACACCGAUGGCGAAGGCAGAUCUCUGGCCGUAACUGACGCUGAGGAGCGAAAGGGUGGGGAGCAAACAGGCUUAGAUACCCUGGUAGUCCACCCGUAAACGUUGGGAACUAGUUGUGGGGUCCAUUCCACGGAUUCCGUGACGCAGCUAACGCAUUAAGUUCCCCGCCUGGGGAGUACGCCGCAAGGC